rnacentral:misc_RNA from 1 species
GAUGAAGAACGCAGCGAAAUGCGAUAAGUAAUGUGAAUUGCAGAAUUCAGUGAAUCAUCGAAUCUUUGAACGCACAUUGCGCCCCCUGGUAUUCCGGGGGGCAAGCCUGUCCGAGCGUCAUUACAACCCUCAAGCUCAGCUUGGUGUUGGGCCCCGCCGCCCCGGCGGGCCCUAAAGUCAGUGGCGGUGCCGUCCGGCUCCGAGCGUAGUAAUUCUUCUCGCUCUGGAGGUCCGGUCGUGUGCUUGCCAGCAACCCCCAAUUUUUUUCAGGUUGACCUCGGAUCAGGUAGGGAUACCCGCUGAACUUAAGCAUAUCAAUAAGCGGAGGA